CCUACGGGGGGCAGCAGUGAGGAAUAUUGGUCAAUGGACGAGAGUCUGAACCAGCCAAGUAGCGUGAAGGAUGACUGCCCUAUGGGUUGUAAACUUCUUUUAUAUGGGAAUAAAAUGUUCCACGUGUGGGAUUUUGUAUGUACCAUAUGAAUAAGGAUCGGCUAACUCCGUGCCAGCAGCCGCGGUAAUACGGAGGAUCCGAGCGUUAUCCGGAUUUAUUGGGUUUAAAGGGAGCGUAGGUGGAUUGGUAAGUCAGUUGUGAAAGUUUGCGGCUCAACCGUAAAAUUGCAGUUGAAACUGGCAGUCUUGAGUACAGUAGAGGUGGGCGGAAUUCGUGGUGUAGCGGUGAAAUGCUUAGAUAUCACGAAGAACUCCGAUUGCGAAGGCAGUUCACUGGACUGCAACUGACACUGAGGCUCGAAAGUGUGGGUAUCAAACAGGAUUAGAUACCCGUGUAGUC
rnacentral:rRNA from 1 species